rnacentral:rRNA from 1 species
UACGGGGGGAGCAAGCGUUGUUCGGAUUUACUGGGCGUAAAGGGCGCGUAGGCGGCCUCCGCAAGUCACUUGUGAAAUCUCCGGGCUUAACCCGGAGCGGUCAAGUGAUACUGUCGUGCUAGAGUGCGGAAGGGGCUACUGGAAUUCUCGGUGUAGCGGUGAAAUGCGUAGAUAUCGAGAGGAACACCUGCGGCGAAGGCGGGUAGCUGGGCCGACACUGACGCUGAUGCGCGAAAGCCAGGGGAGCGAACGGG